GUGGUCAACAAAACUCUGGCCAUUUAGCACUUUCCCAUAAUGCUCUUAGGAUGCUGAUCAAACCCUGCCCAAGGCCUACAAGGCUCACUGUCAGUCCGGGCUCACUAGUACGACUACCAGUCAUCCUGGCCAUCUCUGAGCCCCACAAAACAGCCUUGCUCCUUGGGGAUUUGGUGCCUGUGUCCAUGCAUGUCCUCUGAUGACCCAAUUAGGAGGUGGGUCAGCUGGGUAGAUGCCUGGGGUUCGAGUCCACAAAAGGCACCAACCACCCCCCCCCAUCCCCCACCAAGAAAGGAGAUGAAGAAAACUCUCCUUUCUGGAGCUAUUUGGGGCAGGGGAAGAAGGUGGGACCCCCAAGGGGCAUGCUGGAGCCAGGAUGCAGGCCAUAAGACUGCCUUCUCUGGAGGACGCUGGUGAGCUGAGGCAGGAUACUCUCCGGGACUAUUAGUACAUAAUCAAACAACUACACUGAAAAGCUGACUGGCUGUCUCCUGGGACUCACUACAAACCACCCUACGGCAGCGAUAGGGUCUGUCUGUUCACAAGCGUGCCUCUGGUGGACAAAGCCUAGCACAGACCUGGCUGACUGUGUGUCAGAACAUUUCUGGAGACUGGUAACAUAUACAGCUCAGCUGUUUUGACUCACAAUACUUCUGACACCAAACGUUGUUGUUGUUGUUUUUUUUUUCCCCACACCAACCAAUUCUCCAACUCUGUGGACACCAGCUGGGUGUCCUACAAUUCAAUUCUGACACCGACUAUCCCAAAUUAGUGUUGGACUCCACAGGUUGAAGGACUCAGUUCCAAAGACUGCCCCCACUUCAGAUGCCAGUUACAAGCACAGGGUCCCCAAAUUACCCACUUUUGUCUAAUCUAGUUACAAAGUCAGAGGUGGGGCCUCCCACAACCCUUCCCCCUUUCAGGUUCAAUAAUUUGCUACAACAGCUCACAAAACUGGAGAACAUUUUACUUGCUGUCACCAUAGAUUUAUUAUAUAAAGGAUACAACUCAGGAACAGCCAAAUGGAAGGAAUGCACAGGGCAAGGUGUGGGGCCAGGGAGCAGGGCUUCCAUGCUCUCUCCAGGCAUGCUGCCCUCCUAGCACGCGGAUGUGCUGCCAACCCGGAAGCUCUCUAAAUCCCCGCUGUUUAGAGGUUUUUAUAGAGGUCUCCUUUCAUCUAUGACGGACUAAAUCAUAGGCCAUUGGUGGGGCUUAAAGUCCAAACCUCUAAUGGUGCUUUGGCCUUUCAGGCAACCAGCUCCCAUCCAGAAGCUUAUCUAACCCCCUCUCCUGACCCCCAGACCAGCAGUCAUUAGCACCUAAAAGAUACUCUUAGCACUCUGGAGAUUCCGUGUUCCAGGAGCUGUGUGCCCUGAACUGGGGGGCAAAGACCAAAUAUUUAUUUUUUAUGAUACCAUCCUGCUAUUAGACGGUGCUCAUUUUUAUUGUUUUCAAUAAUACUGAGCUAGAAUUGGCCUCUAACUACUAGCCUACCCUCCAUCAGGCUGUCCAAAGCCACUCACACCGUGGUCAUUCACACCACACAGACCCCCCGGGAACUGGUCUGAGUGUCUUCUUCAGGUUUACACACAGCUGUCGGGGGAAGAGCCGGAAUCUGAAGCCAACUCUUCAGACUUGACAGUUCAACACAAUGUCCCUCACACCACCCUGCCUCCCGGAUGUUUCCGCGAUGUGAGAUGCUCUGGGAGCAUCAUAAUCUCCUUAUCCGAAACAACAACAACAAAAACAACAACAAACAAAGCUGUGCACUUUUAAUGGAGCACGCGAAACAGGCUGCUGGAGAUUAAGGACUUAAACUAAGAUAAAGAACAUUCCAGGUCAUCUGCACCGUUCAGUGAAAUAGCACCCCUGAACAAGUGAGCUUUUGAAGACCAUGCAAUGACCCAGAAAAUGUGAACAUUUUAAUGUGACUUAAUGUGAAAAACUAAAAAAGGAUACAGAGCCAUGCCCUGCACGACCCAAUUUUUUUUUUUAAAUGUGUGUAUGUAUAUGCUUGGAAAAGCUGGAUGGAAAGAAAUACAAAUUUAAAAAUGACAUCGUAUGUCUCACCCUUCAGAUUGCCAAAAAAAUAAAAAGA